rnacentral:rRNA from 1 species
UACGGAGGGUGCGAGCGUUGUCCGGAAUCAUUGGGCGUAAAGGGCGCGUAGGUGGCGGGACAAGGGGGCGGUGAAAGCCUGGGGCUCAACCCCGGGUCGGCCGUGCGAACUGUUUUGCUUGAGCACUGUAGAGGCAGGCGGAAUUCCGGGUGUAGCGGUGGAAUGCGUAGAGAUCCGGAAGAACACCGGUGGCGAAGGCGGCCUGCUGGGCAGUAGCUGACACUGAGGCGCGACAGCGUGGGGAGCAAACAGG